GGUGAACGCUGGCGGCGUGCCUAAUACAUGCAAGUCGAACGCGCAGCGAAAGGUGCUUGCACCUUUCAAGCGAGUGGCGAACGGGUGAGUAACACGUGGAUAACCUGCCUCAAGGCUGGGGAUAACAUUUGGAAACAGAUGCUAAUACCGAAUAAAACUUAGUAUCGCAUGAUACAAAGUUGAAAGGCGCUACGGCGUCACCUAGAGAUGGGUCCGCGGUGCAUUAGUUAGUUGGUGGGGUAAAGGCCUACCAAGACAAUGAUGCAUAGCCGAGUGGAGAGACUGAUCGGCCACAUUGGGACUGAGACACGGCCCAAACUCCUACGGGAGGCUGCAGUAGGGAAUCUUCCACAAUGGGCGAAAGCCUGAUGGAGCAACGCCGCGUGUGUGAUGAAGGCUUUAGGGUCGUAAAGCACUGUUGUAUGGGAAGAAAUGCUAGAAUAGGGAAUGAUUCUAGUUCGACGGUACCAUACCAGAAAGGGACGGCUAAAUACGUGCCAGCCGCCGCGGUAA
rnacentral:rRNA from 1 species